rnacentral:lncRNA from 1 species
GGGCUGGGAAAUCAAUUUAGUGUGUAUUUAACCAACUAUUUACAAAAGAGAAACACUGGAAUGGAAUAGAAUGGGUUUGGGCUGAAAUGGGAUGGAAUGGAAUUGCAGAGAAUGAAAUUGAAAAGACCAGAAUGCAUUUAAUAGAGAUUAACCCUGUUUCAUGUAACUUUAUUUAUUUAUUUAUUUAUUUUUUUUUAAUUUUCCCACUGUACAGCAAGGGGGUCAGGUCAUCCUUAGAUGUAUACAUUGCAGUUACAGUUUUUUCCCCCAUCAUGUAACUUUAAUUUCAGUUCUGUUAGGGUGUACAUAAGUUUUGUUCUGGGUCACAGCUUAAAAGUUAUGCCUUGCUGAGGGUCACAAUAAAAAUGUUUUAAAUUCUCAGAGAAAGAGCAUUAAUGUGCAGCAAGGGAAUAUAACAAAUAUUUUAUAAUAACUGUAUAUGGAGUAUAACCUAUAAAAAUAUUGAGUCACUAUGUUUUGCACCUGAAACAAUAUAAUAUUGUAAGUCAACUAUACCUCAAUUAAAAAAAAAAAAACUGAUUGAAUUCUCUCUCAUAUGGAGGUUCCCAGGCUAGGGGUCGAUUCGGAAUUGUAGCUGCUCGCCUACACCACGGCCACAGCAACAUUAGAUCCAAGCCAUGUCUAUGACCUACACCACGGGUCAUGGCAAUGCCAGAUCCUUAACCCACUGAGCAAGGCCAGGGAUUGAACCUGCAUCUUCAUGGAUGCUAGUCAGAUGCACUUCCACUGAGCCACCAUGGGAACUCCCAUUCAAGUUUCUUGAGAGUGUUUCCAUGUUCUGCAUGUCGAAUGUGACUGUGCAGGUAUUUGGGAUCGUAGUGGGGAACAGCCCCCCCAGCAGAGUCUAUUCAUUCACUAUGUAGUUUACUUCAUUCUCCAGUUUUUACCCCAUAUGUCCGCUCUGUUUUCUUCUGUCUCUGUGUUCUAUAUGGAUUAUCUCCAUCGAAGAACCUCCAAGAAUCUUCGAGAUGAUUCAGCACCUGCCCUUACCCAGCAUUUCCUAACUGAUGUUGUAAAAGGCUGGUACCAGAGACUGGCUGUGAGUGAGUCUUUCUCCUCCCCAUCCAAAGUCCACCGCCCUCUGACAUCGCCAAACCUACUGUGGUCUCUGAUGCUGUUUUUGUUGCUCUAGAGAUGCCUGAGUUUUUGCACAAGCCAAGGUCAAGUAGCCCUGCAUGUCUAAAAGGGUAGAUGUUAACUCUUAAAAGCCAGAAAUUUGGGCACAAAUUUUAGAGCAGUUUUCAAGCACGGGUUAAAAAUAUAUUGGAAGCUGAACAUGUCUGGGGUGAGAAGUUGGGGAAGAUUCAUGUGGCAAAGAGGAGAGUUGCAUCAGGACUGCGUGGUGUUUCACACUUGUAAAGUUCUCUCCCUCUGCCUUUCCUGGAGACCUGAUUGUAGCAGCAGUGAAGGCAGAAUGAAGAGGUGGUAGCAGAGAGAGGCAGAGCACUUGGUAUAAGGGAGGCCUAUUUUUAGGUAUAAAACCUUGUCUUUCCAAUAAUAGAUUGAGGAAGCUCUGGCUUGGCAAUAUGUCUCAGCGUUUCUGUUGACACUUUGGAAUAUGGCUGUCAUGAAGUGAGUGUAAAGUUAGGACCUGCUUUGGAGUUCCCGUCAUGGCUCAGUGGUUAAGGAACCCAACUAGGAUCCAUGAGGAUGUGGGUUCAAUCCCUGGCCUCACUCAGUGGAUUAAGGAUCUAAUGUUGCGGUGAGCUGUGGUAUAGUUUGCAGACGAGGCUCGGAUCUGGCGUUGCUGUGGCUGUGGCAUUCUCUGGCAGCUCCAGCUCCGAUUUGACCCCUAGCCUGGGAAGCUCCAUAUGCUGCAGGUACAACCCCCAAAAGACAAAAGACAAAAAAAAAAAAAAAGUUAGGACCUGCCUCAAGUCAUAAGGAAGCAAGCCUGGAGUUAUUCGACUUGUAUGCAUGGUAGUCCAUUCUGUUCUGGGUACCACAUUUUGUAAUACAUGCUGUAAACCUUAGGCAUUGAAAAACUUUCAUCAAAAUGAAAUGAAUUACACUUCCACCAGCAAUAUAUGCAUUCCUGUUUGCCAAGACUCUCACCCAGUUCUUGCUGUGAUCUGAUUUUAAUUUCUGCUACUCCAAUGGGUAUAAAAAUGACAUCUUGUGGUUGUUACUGUUUGAAGUAAAAGCAUAUUUGAAAC